rnacentral:lncRNA from 1 species
CCUAAUUUGCAAAUUUUAAGUUCUCUCUCAAGUUUAGAUAUAACUGUUAUAAUUAAAAGCUGGCUCUAGACCUAAACUUGUGGGAUGAAAACUUGAUCUGAAGUCUAAGUUGUUAACGGAUAUGAUAUGGGAAGGUUGAGCUGCUGUUUAUCUGUUCCUAGAGAUGCUAGAAUUCUGGAGAAUUUUAUCUUUGAAAAUCUUUAAAAUGUUGCAUGAUGAGUUCCUGUAUAAUGAGAGUUUAAAUUCCUACCACAGCCAUAUAUACAUGCUUGCUAGACUUUGAGCCACACAUUUAAUAUUUACUGCUUAUGAGCAUUGAGUGUGGUCAAGCUGUGUUGACCCUUAGGAACUUGUCAUGUGGUUAAAUCAAGAUUCACUUGCACGUUCACUCAUAUAUGCUACUUCUACUUCGGAAGUACCAUCCACAUAUAUCCAUUCAUUUCCAUCUCCAGAACCACCUAAAAAUAUUCUACUCCUAAUCCGGGAGAGAAUAACCAAAAAUAUUUCUAUUUUCUCCUUGUGAAAUAAAUGCUCAAGUUAUCUUGUUACUACCACUUGCUAUAUUAUCUCAAGAGAUGAGUGCUCUAAAAAUAUAUAUAUAUAUAUACGAGGAAAUAAAAAGGAGCAAGUGCUCGGAACCUCGAAAGAAAAGAAAAAGUGAGACGAGAGGUAAAAAUGGACAAAUGUCCGACAGUAGAAUUAGGGGUGCAAGAUACCCACCUAAAAAAAAGAAAGAAGAAGAAGAGCAUCUCAUUCUCCUCAUAAACUUUUAAAAAAGCAAGGAAGGUAUGUAUCCCCUCAAAAGAGCAAAAGUAGAAUUAGACUUCCACCACCAUUGUUUUCACCAUUGUUAUCACCAUCAUCACCAUACACCAUUCAUUCGCCACACAUGCACAUCUUGAUUUGACUUAUUGAUUUGUUUCUUUGGAUCCAUGGUUUGACUAUGCAAUAAAUGUCUUGUAAGUAUGUAUACUUUAUCUCCCACCUAUGAGCUCCAGAUAUUAAAGCCUUAUUAGAGUAGGGUGAGAGAGAAGGCAAUGUCACUAUGCCUCAUACCACAAAUACUACAUAUCUUGAGAGAAGACAUAUACCAUCAAUGCCUUGGUAAGGAUCCAAAAAUACCACAAAAGAGAGACCUGAGAGAAUUAUACAAGGAAUUUCUGAGUUUUAUUUGAAAAUCUGCAAAAAAAACCC